UACGGAGGGUGCGAGCGUUAUCCGGAUUCACUGGGUUUAAAGGGUGCGUAGGAGGGCAGGUAAGUCAGUGGUGAAAUCCCCGAGCUUAACUUGGGAACUGCCGUUGAUACUAUCUGUCUUGAAUAUUGUGGAGGUGAGCGGAAUAUGUCAUGUAGCGGUGAAAUGCUUAGAUAUGACAUAGAACACCAAUUGCGAAGGCAGCUCGCUACACAUAUAUUGACUCUGAGGCACGAAAGCGUGGGGAUCAAACAGG
rnacentral:rRNA from 1 species